rfam:Branchiostoma floridae genomic scaffold BRAFLscaffold_118, whole genome shotgun sequence.
CCGUGGUCACGAUGUUUUUGUCUGCUCCAGAGGUGAGUUAUUACGACUUUGGGACAGACGAAACAUCUCAGACCAACG